rnacentral:rRNA from 1 species
ACCUGGUAAACAUAGUGUUAUGGUACCACCUGAAUCCAUUUCGAACUCAGAAGUGAAACAUUUCAACGCCGAUGGUAGUGCAGGGCUUCCUUGUGUGAGAGUAGGACAUUGCCAGGU